UCCAGAGGGUGCGAUCGUUAAUCGGAAUUACUGGGCGUAAAGCGCACGUAGGUGGCGACGUAAGUCGGGUGUGAAAGCCCCGGGCUCAACCUGGGGAUUGCAUUCGAGACUGCAUUGCUGGAGUACGGAAGAGGAGGGCGGAAUUCCCGGUGUAGCGGUGAAAUGCGUAGAUAUCGGGAGGAACAUCAGUGGCGAAGGCGGCCCUCUGGUCCAGUACUGACACUCAAGUGCGAAAGCGUGGGGAGAAAACAGG
rnacentral:rRNA from 1 species